rnacentral:tRNA from 2 species
UGGGGUAUGGCCAAGCGGUAAGGCAUCAGUUUUUGGUACUGACAUUCGGGGGUUCGAAUCCCUCUACCCCAUCCA